rnacentral:rRNA from 1 species
AUUGAACGCUGGCGGCAGGCCUAACACAUGCAAGUCGAACGAGUGGCGGACGGGUGAGUAAUGUGUGGGAAACUGCCUUGUGGAGGGGGAUAACUACGGGAAACUGUAGCUAAUACCUCAUACCCUCAGAUGUGCCCAGAUGGGAUUAGCUAGUUGGUGGGGUAACGGCGCACCAAGGCGACGAUCCAUAGCUGGUCUGAGAGGAUGACCAGCCACACUGGAACGGAUACACGGUCCAGACUCCUACGGGAGGCAGCAGUGGGGAAUAUUGCACAAUGGGCGCAAGCCUGAUGCAGCCAUGCCGCGUGUAUGAAGAAGGCCUUCGGGUUGUAAAGUACUUUCAGCGGGGAGGCGUUACCCGCAGAAGAAGCACCGGCUAACUCCGUGCCAGCAGCCGCGGUAAUUC